UCUAGUAUAGCACUUUAUACUGUGAACUGCGAAUGGCUCAUUAAAUCAGUUAUCGUUUAUUUGAUAGUACCUUACUACAUGGAUACCUGUGGUAAUUCUAGAGCUAAUACAUGCUACAAACCCCGACUUCAGGAAGGGGUGUAUUUAUUAGAUAAAAAACCAACGCCCUUCGGGGCUCCUUGGUGAAUCAUAAUAACUUAACGAAUCGCAUGGCCUUGCGCCGGCGAUGGUUCAUUCAAAUUUCUGCCCUAUCAACUUUCGAUGGUAGGAUAGUGGCCUACCAUGGUGGCAACGGGUAACGGGGAAUUAGGGUUCGAUUCCGGAGAGGGAGCCUGAGAAACGGCUACCACAUCCAAGGAAGGCAGCAGGCGCGCAAAUUACCCAAUCCCGAUACGGGGAGGUAGUGACAAUAAAUACUGAUACGGGGCUCUUUCGGGUCUCGUAAUUGGAAUGAGAACAAUUUAAAUCCCUUAACGAGGAACAAUUGGAGGGCAAGUCUGGUGCCAGCAGCCGCGGUAAUUCCAGCUCCAAUAGCGUAUAUUAAAGUUGUUGCAGUUAAAAAGCUCGUAGUUGAACCUUGGGCCUGGCUGGCCGGUCCGCCUCACCGCGAGUACUGGUCCGGCUGGGCCUUUCCUUCUGGGGAACCUCAUGGCCUUCACUGGCUGUGGGGGGAACCAGGACUUUUACUGUGAAAAAAUUAGAGUGUUCAAAGCAGGCCUUUGCUCGAAUACAUUAGCAUGGAAUAAUAGAAUAGGACGUGCGGUUCUAUUUUGUUGGUUUCUAGGACCGCCGUAAUGAUUAAUAGGGAUAGUCGGGGGCGUCAGUAUUCAGCUGUCAGAGGUGAAAUUCUUGGAUUUGCUGAAGACUAACUACUGCGAAAGCAUUCGCCAAGGAUGUUUUCAUUAAUCAGGGAACGAAAGUUAGGGGAUCGAAGACGAUCAGAUACCGUCGUAGUCUUAACCAUAAACUAUGCCGACUAGGGAUCGGACGGGAUUCUAUGAUGACCCGUUCGGCACCUUACGAGAAAUCAAAGUUUUGGGUUCUGGGGGGAGUAUGGUCCCAAGGCUGAAACUUAAAGAAUUGACGGAGGGCACCACAAGGCCGGGAGCCUGGCGGUUAAUUUGACUCACCCGGGGAAACUCACCGGGCCCAACAAAAUAAGGAUUGACAGAUGGAAGCCCUUUCUUGACCUUUGGAGGGGGGGCAGGCCCUUCUUAAGUGGGGGGAGGAUUGUCCGCUUAAUUGCGAAAACAAAAAAAACCCGGGCCUUAAAAACCCGGGCCCAAUUGGGGGGCCGGGCUUCUUAGG
rnacentral:rRNA from 1 species